rnacentral:rRNA from 1 species
UGGAAGUAAAAAGUCGUAACAAGGUCUCCGUUGGUGAACCAGCGGAGGGAUCAUUACUGAGUUUACGCUCUAUAACCCUUUGUGAACAUACCUAUAACUGUUGCUUCGGCGGGUAGGGUCUCCGCGACCCUCCCGGCCUCCCGCCUCCGGGCGGGUCGGCGCCCGCCGGAGGAUAACCAAACUCUGAUUUAACGACGUUUCUUCUGAGUGGUACAAGCAAAUAAUCAAAACUUUUAACAACGGAUCUCUUGGUUCUGGCAUCGAUGAAGAACGCAGCGAAAUGCGAUAAGUAAUGUGAAUUGCAGAAUUCAGUGAAUCAUCGAAUCUUUGAACGCACAUUGCGCCCGCCAGCAUUCUGGCGGGCAUGCCUGUUCGAGCGUCAUUUCAACCCUCAAGCUCUGCUUGGUGUUGGGGCCCUACAGCUGAUGUAGGCCCUCAAAGGUAGUGGCGGACCCUCCCGGAGCCUCCUUUGCGUAGUAACUUUACGUCUCGCACUGGGAUCCGGAGGGACUCUUGCCGUAAAACCCCCCAAUUUCCAAAGGUGACCUCGGAUCAG